UUCUUGCUUAAAGUUGAACAGUGGGGGGAAUGGACGUCCAUUUGGCAACCUUGCGUGGGGUUCUCGCAAUUCAUCAAAGAAUGAAUGUGCACAUGCUUCGAGCUUGCAUCGUAGAUUUGGUGCAUACUGGAGAAGACGUGAUGCAAGGUCAAUUGCUUCUGGAGGCAUCCGCUUGUGGAAAACCUUGUGCCAUGGGUGAGCUUUAAUCUGAGGAAAUCUGAAUUCUGUGUAGUUGGGAUUCAUGCAGCGGAUUUCCUCACGUGUUGGAGUACCAAGAACCUACCAACAAAGAAAAUUCAUUCAAAGCCACAAACAGGAAAUAACCUGGCCAAGGAGCAACUCAGCAAGAACACACCCAGCUGACCAUAUAUCAAUUGAUGUCGUGUAUUCGGUUGCCCCAAAUAUCAGUUCUGGAGCACGGUAAUAACGUGAACAUAUAUACGAUAUUAAGAAUCAGCUUAUAUUCAGAUACUGUUAACCACAGGUUAUUAAAAUAUCAAGCGUGAAAUGAACAUACCAAAAGAUUCUGAGGCUUCACAUCCCUGUGGCAAACUCCAGGUACAGUAUGAAUGUAAGCCAAACCACGGAAUACCUGGUAAACAUACAAUUUGACAUAUAUAAGUGGCAUCCUUUGGUUCAUGUUGCUAUAAUGCUUCAACACACGAUACAGUGACUCAGGAACAAAUUCCAUGACCAGGUUAAGGAAAAGUUCAUCUCUGCUUGUUGUAGAGAAGAAGCAAUGCUUCAAAGAAACAACAUUGCAAUGAUCCAUUGAUCGCAUAAUCUGCAACUCCCUGUUCUUGUAACGCUUGUCCUGUAAAACCUUCUUAAUGGCGACAGAGGACAAUGUUACACUGCAGAAGUUUACCUGAAAGACGAUUCCAAAUGAUCCAGUUCCCACAACUCGUUCUGCCAUGUAGCUAAUCGUCU
rnacentral:sRNA from 1 species